rnacentral:ncRNA from 2 species
AUCUUAUCAAGAGUGGUGGAGGGACUGGCCCUGUGAAACCCAGCAACCUAGUUUUUUAAUUACGAAUUAUGAAUUGUUGUUGAAAUUCUAAAGAAUUUCAGUAAGUAUUAUUUUAAACUUCCGUAAGAAGUUUAUUCCUAAAUUCAUCAUUUAUCAUUCAUAACUCAUAAUUGAAAAAAAGUUGGUGCUAAUUCCUGCAGCUUUUUAGCUGAUAGAUGAGAG